UUUAAUCGAGAGUUUGAUCCUGGCUCAGGACGAACGCUGGCGGCGUGCCUAACACAUGCAAGUCGAACGAGAAACCCAUUUGUGAUCCCUUCGGGGUGAACUGUUGGGUGGAAAGUGG
rnacentral:rRNA from 1 species